AAAAUUUUUAUCGUGACCAUUCGAUUCUCCGGGUGUGCUUUGGUCAUUAAAGUUUUUCUCUCUGCUUCCUAUCUCAUCGCGUUUCUGAGAAAAAAGUUGCGCGGGUGGUAAGAUACAGCCUGCUUAUAUAUUUUUUGUCGACAGUGACGCCACUUUCCAUUCUUAUUAGGUGGCGGGGAGAAACAGUUCUUCCACCCUCCUCCGGAGUGGGCAGCCAGAUGGUGGAAGACGGGGAUGGACGGCCGGCCCUGGACCCCAUCGUAAAUAUUUUUGUGGGAUGGGAUCCGCGACUCGAACCCGGGUCCUUCAGAGUGGAAAGUCGAAGCGUUUCCACGUCGCCCAUCCGGCCGACUUCCAAUAUAUAAUUUCCGGUUGGGUAAAGGAGGAACCGUCGGCUUUAGGCCUUUCGACCACGUUGGGCGUCUUAGACACCCGUCGUCUCCUUACCGAUAAAAUGCGUAGAGUGUGGGUUCUUACUUUUAGCCGCGGGUGGCUUUUUCCUCUUUUAUAGGGUCUAUCCUUCGUAUCAAGAUAUACCACUGGUAAUCGUCAAAGCGGUGGCUUUCAAUC
rnacentral:lncRNA from 1 species